GGCUGCAAACCAGCAGAAACCCAGCUCUUGUGACCUGUCUCCAUCUCUCUGCACCAUGGCCCAGCCCGCUCUGCCUCUCUGUCUCCUGGGGCUUUUCCUGACAGGUUGCUGCGCUCAGGUGACUCAGCCGCCCUCCGAGUUCGUGUCUCCCGGGGGGAAUGUCCAGCUCCCCUGCACGCUAGAGGGCAGUUACACCGUCAGUGCCAACCUUGUCGUUUGGAUACAGCAGAGACUGGGCAGCGUCCCCAGAUACCUGCUGUAUUUUUACACUGAAUCUAACAAAGGCAUGGGCUCGGGGGUCCCCAGCCGGUUCGCUGGCUCUCGCUCUGGCUCCGACAAGAUUGGCUAUUUAACCAUCACGGGGGCCCAGGCAGAGGAUGAUGCCGUCUAUUACUGUGUUACGUGGACUGGGAGUGCUGCACAGUGCUACCGUCCCAUGGGGAAGUGAGACAAAAACCUUCUCACUCCACUGCAGCCCUGCGGCAAGGCUGUGCCUGCUCUGAGCACCAGCCUGCUUCUUACACAGGGGGCGUUGGCUCCUGCUCCCCUCACAGCUCCUCAUGUGGGAGACGCACCCUCAGCACUGAAAUACUCUGUGAGCUCAGGCCUGGUCACUGCUCACGGGUCUCUUGGUUUCCGAUGGUCAUCUUGUCGCUCAAGAGCUGAGGCAGCCGUCCUCCGCGGCAGGGUCCCCAGGAAACACUGUCCAUUCUCCUGCACCGCAAAGAGCGAAGUCUGCACCCCAUGUUAAAGAUGGGACCCGGAAGGGUUUGUCCACCACACCUUCCGGGCUUCUGAGAAACGUGCGAGGGAUCCCUACAGAGCCCGGACAUAUCACUGCCCUGUAGGUGGCAGCAGAGCACAGCUACUGCAGGUCAAUGGCCCUGACAGGGCUGGGGUGGAUUGGAAGGGAGGCUCAGGUGUUAGCCAAAUAGGGCUCGUUUCCCCCCGGAGCUUACCUAAUUACACCAAGGAGGCACGUAAGACAGGAAGACGAGU